UGAGGAAUAUUGGUCAAUGGGCGGGAGCCUGAACCAGCCAAGCCGCGUGAGGGAAGAAGGCCCUAUGGGUCGUAAACCUCUUUUGUCAGGGAACAAAAGCGAGUAUGUAUACUGGUCUGAGUGUACCUGAAGAAAAACGCAUCGGCUAACUCCGUGCCAGCAGCCGCGGUAAUACGGAGGAUGCGAGCGUUAUCCGGAUUUAUUGGGUUUAAAGGGUGCGUAGGCGGCUGUGCAAGUCAGCGGUAAAAGCCCGGGGCUCAACCCCGGCGAGCCGUUGAAACUGCAGUGCUAGAGAAGGCGAGAGGUACGCGGAAUGCGCAGUGUAGCGGUGAAAUGCUUAGAUACUGCGCAGAACUCCGAUUGCGAAGGCAGCGUACUGGCGCCUGACUGACGCUGAGGCACGAAAGCGUGGGGAUCGAACAGGAUUAGAUACCC
rnacentral:rRNA from 1 species